GACGAACGCUGGCGGCGUGCUUAACACAUGCAAGUCGAGCGGAAAGGCCACUUCGGUGGUACUCGAGCGGCGAACGGGUGAGUAACACGUGAGUAAUCUGCCCCUCACUUUGGGAUAGCCACCGGAAACGGUGAUUAAUACCGGAUAUGACCAUAUGUCGCAUGUCGUGUGGUGGAAAGUUUUUCGGUGAGGGAUGUGCUCGCGGCCUAUCAGCUUGAUGGUGAGGUAAUGGCUCACCAUGGCUUCGACGGGUAGCCGGCCUGAGAGGGUGACCGGUACCACGGGGACGAAGACACGGCCAAGACUCUUACGGGAGGCAGCAGUGGGGAAAAUUGGACAAUGGGCGGAGGCCUGUUCAAGAACGCCGGCGUGGGGGAUGCCGCCCUUCGGGUGGAAACCGUCUUUCAGUAUCGACGAAGCGGAAGUGACGGUAGGUACAGAAGAAGCACCGGCCAAUUACGU
rnacentral:rRNA from 1 species